rnacentral:rRNA from 1 species
GAUGAACGCUGGCCGCGUGCCUAAUACAUGCAAGUCGAGCGAACGGACGAGAAGCUUGCUUCUCUGAUGUUAGCGGCGGACGGGUGAGUAACACGUGGAUAACCUACCUAUAAGACUGGGAUAACUUCGGGAAACCGUAGCUAAUACCGGAUAAUAUUUUGAACCGCAUGGUUCAAAAGUGAAAGACGGUCUUGCUGUCACUUAUAGAUGGAUCCGCGCUGCAUUAGCUAGUUGGUAAGGUAACGGCUUACCAAGGCAACGAUGCAUAGCCGACCUGAGAGGGUGAUCGGCCACACUGGAACUGAGACACGGUCCAGACUCCUACGGGAGGCAGCAGUAGGGAAUCUUCCGCAAUGGGCGAAAGCCUGACGGAGCAACGCCGCGUGAGUGAUGAAGGUCUUCGGAUCGUAAAACUCUGUUAUUAGGGAAGAACAUAUGUGUAAGUAACUGUGCACAUCUUGACGGUACCUAAUCAGAAAGCCACGGCUAACUACGUG